CUCAAAAACAGUCAAUUUGGCUCUAGAUUGAGUUUGGAGAACUCUACCCAAAGAGUAACUUUUACUCUUUUUAGAGAAGGACCAAAUAUUAUCUGAGUAGAGUCAAAUUUUCUUCAAUUUGGGUAAAUUUUACUCAGGCUAAUUUCCUUUUAGUUCAGUAUUAUUAUUA